GUUUAUGGGGCUGAAAUGGCUUUGACAGCGAGAAGAAUAGCUGAGCAAGCAUGCCGAGGGUUUCUAGUCUUUCCUCGUUAAUCUUAGGACUUGAGUCAGAAAUGACAACACUUCUUACGCACUCGCGGCUUAAUC
rnacentral:sRNA from 12 species